rnacentral:tRNA from 1 species
ACCAGCAAGAACUGCUAAUUCUCGCAUCUGAGAUUAAAACCUCAGUCCCCUUA